UACGGGAGGCAGCAGUGGGGAAUAUUGCACAAUGGGCGAAAGCCUGAUGCAGCUAUGCCGCGUGUAUGAAGAAGGCCUUAGGGUUGUAAAGUACUUUCAUCGGGGAGGAAAAACAAAACUAAUAAUUUUAUUUCUUGACGUUACCCGAAAAAGAAGCACCGGCUAACUCCGUGCCAGCAGCCGCGGUAAUACGGAGGGUGCUAGCGUUAAUCAGAAUUACUGGGCGUAAAGAGCACGUAGGUGGUUUUUUAAGUCAGAUGUGAAAUCCCUGGGCUUAACCUAGGAACUGCAUUUGAAACUGAAAUACUAGAGUAUCGUAGAGGGAGGUAGAAUUCUAGGUGUAGCGGUGAAAUGCGUAGAUAUCUGGAGGAAUACCUGUGGCGAAAGCGGCCUCCUAAACGAAUACUGACACUGAGGUGCGAAAGCGUGGGGAGCAAACAGGAUUAGAUACC
rnacentral:rRNA from 1 species